CAGGGGUUUGGGGGUGUCCGCAUAUAAGUGGUUUGCUGCCAGUCUCUCAAGGAAGAAAAAAGAACACGUUUCUGGCUACUGGCACAGCAGGAUUGUAGUGCACGAGGAGCGGCCCAAUCGUAAGUCAGUGUAGCACUGUUAGUAGGGUCGGUUGCGGAUACCUGUAAAGUCCAUGUUCCGCUCUCGUUUUCUUGGCUGCGCUCUCAGCGGUGCAGCGAAGGUACCGGAGCAGCUGCCGGAUUGGGCAAUCGAAAAGCGCACGUACCUGAGCUUGGCACUUGACCGAUGGGCGCUGAAAGUGCAGCGCUUGGCGACAAAGUUGAUCGCUGUCAGCGAUCGUAUGAUGGGCGUGCAGCCGAAGGAGGAGCUUUAUCGCAUUCCGCGUCUCUUGAAGGUGAGCGGGAAGCGGCCGACGGUCAUGGAUAACUGUUUCAUUGCGCCAAGUGCUAUAGUUACCGGCGAUGUUCAUGUGGGACGAAAGAAUUAUAUCGGCUACAACGCCAUUAUCCGGGCUGAAAAGGGGGAGAGCAUUCACCUCGGCGAAAGCUGCAACGUGCAGGAGAAGGCAAUAGUCACCGGAAACACAACGGUGGGCAAGUGGACUACGAUUGAGCCCAUGGCCAUCGUUGAGUCUGCUGAUAUUGCGUCGUGCUCGUUUGUGGGAGCCAGCGCGAUCGUCAUGAAAGGUAGUAGUAUCGAGUCCGGUGCCAUGUUGUGCGCCGCGAGCGUCUUGCAGUCUGGCGCGAUUAUCCCUUCCGGUGAGAUGUGGGCCGGCAACCCGGCCCAGAAAGUGGCCGACCUCACGGAGAAGGAAAAGGAUGCCAUUAUCAAGGCGGCCAAGCACUCUGUCCUGCUCGCUAUCGAGCACCACGACUCGUGGGAGCUUACCUGGGAGGAAAUCGAGGACCAACGCGACGCUCGAGAGCUGUUUGCGCGGUACGCCGAAGGCAACCGGGAGCUGCGUAUUAAGGCCAUGUACAUCAAGGAGCCGCCGCGACCGAACCGAAAGAAGAUGGGUCGCCGCACACCACACGAGCUGGUCGACGGCAGCGAGAACGCUCCCGCGCUGGCUGAGAGUAUUCACCAGGGCUACUAAAGUUCAGUGCUGUAGACUGCAAUGUCGAAAGACAAAAUGAUGACUCGAGCCCACUAUCGUGAGGGUAUGCCGCCGACUCUGCUCUCUCAAGAUGUACUAUUUUUGCUUUUCUACGCUCGCGCCACAACAGAAAGAGGCGAAUGCCUGUCGUGAUGAUAGUGUCGUUCUUGAAUGUGUGUGUGUGUGUGUAUUGUUGUUCUCUGCCGCAUUACAGCUUAUGCAGCUGUGGUUUCUGCAAUUGUUCUCGGAGAAGUAUUUUUUUUUUCUCUGUAGGAUGGACUAUUUUUUUUUCUGCUCCGAUUUGGGAGCUGAGAAGGGUAUCGUAGAAAGACACCAUCCAC
rnacentral:misc_RNA from 1 species